rnacentral:rRNA from 1 species
UACGUAGGGCGCAAGCGUUGUCCGGAAUUAUUGGGCGUAAAGAGCUCGUAGGCGGCCAGUUGCGUCUGCUGUGAAAUCCCGGGGCUCAACCCCGGGCGUGCAGUGGAUACGGGCUGGCUAGAGGCAGGCAGGGGAGAACGGAAUUCCCGGUGUAGCGGUGAAAUGCGCAGAUAUCGGGAGGAACACCGGUGGCGAAGGCGGGUCUCUGGGCCGUUACUGACGCUGAGGAGCGAAAGCGUGGGGAGCGAACAGG